rnacentral:lncRNA from 1 species
CUAAGGUGUAGAUACAAAUCUUCAGAGUCAGAAACAUAAAAUGCAUUCCAUUAUGAGUAAAUUCAUUUCUACACACUACUUAAUGAGAAACAUUUAUCUCACAUAGAAGCAUCAUCUGCUGCUCUCCAGGUAAAUCCUAAUAGCAUUCACUGUUCCAUCUGUCUGCAUUUUACACUCAGAUUCUUGUUUUUCAUUAUAGCCAAGAUUUGAGAGGAUCAACAUGAUGCAUCUUUUCAUCCAGAGCAAGGGAAGAACCCAAAAGCUUCCUAACUACAAUAUUUUGAAGGUCAGUUGGUUUCUGUCCUAAUUUUCAUUGAAAGAAUCAAAAGCAUUUUAAAAGAUGAACCAGAAAGUGAUGGCAAGGAUCUCAGUGUUGAUCACCCCAUUGUGUCCUCAGGCCUGAGUUGUCCCCCUGUCUAAUCACUUUAUCUCUUAUCCUAGCCUGAGUGGAAGUGUGAGUGCACAGUGCACAGUGCAGAAAGCAGUCUUCUCACAGGACCACACAGUGUGCUUCUUAAAGUUGGUCAGAUCCAGCCCCUGAGGUUCUCUCAACUGCACAGGUUUCUGUUAAGGUGGAACAUUAAAGGAUGCUCUUGUCCUUAUGGUACCUGACUUUGGUCUUAGCUCUAAGUGAUCCCAAAUACUUUCAAAACAUAUGUGUACCAGAUGACUAGAGUUUCAGGAAAUGGGUAUGAAAUAUACAACAUAUACCCAGCAAGGAAAAUAAGUACUUCACCAUAACAAGAAUAGAUGAGAAAAUAUAUAAAGAACUAAAAGAGAUAAUUCACAGGUGGAGAUUCUAAUGUAAGAACAUACAGAAAAUAAAUUAAAUCACUUUCAGCUGAUACUUUCUUAUGUUUUUGUCAAUGAAAUCCUUGACUGUGAACUGAGAAUAUCUGUGGAACAUCCUUCACGGUGCAGCACUGAUCUCCCUGUUCAGUGGACAGUAGCAGAUGAUGGGGUUCACGAAUGGGGGCAUGGUUUCAUUGCAAUGGGACCUAAGUAGGUUAUUGCCCCCAAAAUGACCAACAGCAGAAGAAUGGCCAGCUGCAAAGUACAGGUGGGUAUGGCUUUGUUUGGGGGAUUCCACAGAAUGCAUUUUAAGCACAUUUUAAAAUAUUUUAAUGUAUGAUAUAAAUAUAAAGGAAAAACAUAGUAACACAAGACAAAUGCUUAGAGCAACGAUUACAAAUUCUGAAAACUGGACUUCUGAAGAUGAAAUCCUCAGAAUUUGAAGUACAUCACAGAAAUAUUUCUGGAUCACAUUGGUCUUGGGAAGGAAAGCCUGAACAGAGCUCCUGUGUGGAUAACAGAGUAGACCAGACCAGAGGCGCAGGAGCCAGCUGUCGCCUGAGAGUACAGACGGAGUGAUGAUGAGCCCAUUGUGCAGAUGGUGGCAGAUGGCCGUGUAGCGGUCAUAGGACAUGACCACCAGGAGGGCAAAUUCCACAGCUGCAAAAAGAAUAUAGAGGAAAAUCUGUAUGUCACCUCUGUCGGGAAGAUUGACAUACUACCAGUCAUGGAAUUCACUGUGACUUUGGGAACAAUAACUGAGAUGCUGCCAAAAUCUAGGAGGGCCACAUUGCUUACAAAGAAGUACAUGGGAGGUUGCAGAUGUGUGUCUGUCAUGAUGACUGUGAAAGUCAAAAUAUUCCCUGUUAAUGCUUCCAUAUAAAUCACUAAGAACAGCACACCUUGCAGGACCUGGAGCUCCCUGGAGCCUGCGACAUCCAUAAGGAGGAAUUCUGUGAAGAUGAUGCCAGUGUUGUUAAGAGAACCUUGGAUCUGACCAACCUGGAGAAGCAUACUACUGAGUGGUCCUAUGAGAAGACCCUGUCUCCACUGUGCUGUUUGCACUUGCUCUUCCAGUCAGGCUUGGAUAAGUGACAAAGUGAUUAGACAGUGGGACAACUCAGGCCCAAGGACACAAUGGGAACCCUUGUCUGGGGAAAUCCUCAGCAUGGAAGUGCUGGUUCUCAUUCAGUGCCAGUCCAGCCCUGGAACAACAGGCACCUCAGGCUCCCUGCACCUCCAUACUUAUUGGUCCUCUCAGAACCAAGUGGUGUUUGGCACCAUGGACUUCCUGUCAUCCAGAACUCAUCCUAGUGAAGGUCUGGAGAUGACUCACCCUCCUCUGAUGCCUCAGAUACCUCAACUAUUCUGCCAUGAUUAUAGAUAAACCGGUCAUUUGUAGAAAAAUGGGUACACCAUGAGACCAUAUUAUUAAAUGAAAUAAAAAAGACACACAGUUUAAAUAUUGCAUAUUAUCUCAC